GAGAGAUCAGAGGUGCAGAGU
rnacentral:miRNA from 1 species